CCCCCAGUAGCUCAGUGGAUAGAGCAGCGGCCUUCUAAUCCGCCGGUCAGGUGUUCGAAUCACCUCUGGGGGA
rnacentral:tRNA from 1 species